ensembl:lncRNA DRAIC downregulated RNA in cancer, inhibitor of cell invasion and migration
UCUGGGAUCCUUGAGCCCAGAGUGGAUUAGAUGGGAUUAGAGACCCACUCUGAGCUGUUUCUACCUGCAUCUUAAUCCACUCCAGAGCUGAGGCUUCCUGAUCCCUCUAACCAGGUGCAUGUUCACUGGGCUUCCAGCUUCCAAGCCUUCUACCUGUGGAAUGCUUGGUCCAAUGUCUGGGGCACCCACUCUUACUCCAAACUCCUCCAGAUCUGCAGAGUGGCCCAGCAUAUUCUCUUCUUGAAAGGAGGUCUUUGCCUAACAGAAAUGGAAUAAAAAGGCCUACCUCAUUGGGCUCGUGUGGGUGAGGAGAACUGAAGAGUCUGAGAGCGCGGCACGAGCCAGAGGCUACGGAAAACACUGCCCUCCUACACUCCACCUUGGAGAGACCCAGAAAAGAACAAGCUUCAUUUGUAAAAAAGGAAAACAACUCAGGCAAUGGGGGUGGCUUAAAGGCACUCUACAGUGUGCAGAUGCCUUCCACUUCUUCCAUCUGCCCUGUCUCUCCAAGAACCCCUAUGGCCCCGGUCUCAGAACAGAGCUGAGUGCAGAAAUGAAAAUCUAUGGCUCUGUGUUCCAAAACGAUGAAGAAUUUCAAGAUGGUGGCAGUGGUAAAAUCUUUCUCCAGGAAAAAUCUGUCCUUGGCCCAAUGUGUAAACACUUGCUGAGGAACUUGGAAUAACUUGCAGUGUCUUGCAGUAUUGUGAAACCAGCAACUUGUUCACAAUUCUUCUGAAUUUCUUGGGAAAUUUGAAGUGGAGUACCUGUACCAACAUGAAAUGACACGAAUUUAAGUGACGCUCAACAACGAAAAGCAAAAAGAACCAAAGAGGAAGCAACUGAAACAACAUCUGGAUGUAUUUAAAAAUAUACAAUGCCUCCAAAAUCAGGUGUCAUUAAUGAAAAUUCUGAAGAAAUGCCACCGGACAUAGCCAACGCACCUACGCUGUUGUUAUUCAUUUCCUGCUUUUCACAGAAAACAAUUUUGUUGCAUGGAAGAUCGUGAACUUCAAAGGGCAGAGGGGAAACUGUCCCUUGGCCUCUACCCCUCCAAGGCCCCACUUUUUUGUCAACACUCCUUGGACGCAGCAGAAGUAUGAACAUAAUAUGGUCCUGAAUGAGGCUGAGUCUUUGGGCGCAGAAGACCCGGGUUAAUAAAAAUAGGAAGGUAAGAAAAGAAAAGAAAAAUCAAGACACAUCAUAGGACUAAAUUCCUAUUAUUUAUCCACUCAGGAUUGACCACCCCUUUGGGCCAGAUAGUUGUACCCCCAUGUACCAGGUGGGCACAUGAAGACACAAGAAGUGCUGUGAUGGUUCAUUUUGCACGUCACCUUGCGUGGAGUAUGCCAACUCAUUGUUUGGUCAAACACUAGUCUGGACAUGGUGGUAAAGGUAUUUUUUAGAUGAGAUUAACACUUAAAUCAGUAAAGCAGGUUACCCACCAUACUACGGGUGGGCCCUGUCCAAUCAGUUGAAGGCAUUAAGAACAAAGAUUGAGGUUUCCUAAAGAAGAUGGAAUUCUCCUUGAGACUACAACAUAGAAACCCUAUCUGAGUUUCCAGCCUGUUGCCCUGUGGAAUUCAAACUCAGGACUCCGGUCUAUGACAUUAACCCUCACUUAACUUUUCAGCCUGCCAGCCUGCCCUAUGGAUUUCGGACUUGCCAGCCACACAAUUCCUUAAAAUAAAUCUCUCCGUCUCUG